GCGCGCACGCCUGACGUCAGCGGCCAGCGUGAGUCACGCGCGCAGGGAGAGCGCGAGGCGGCCUCUCCCUCCCCCCUUCCUCCUCCGGCCCGGCCCAGACCGGUUCCAACCUGCUGGGGCCGGUCCCAACUGCCUCCCAACUGCCACCAACCCCUGGCCGGGCCGUGGGGCGGGAAAGCCGGGCCCGGCCGCUGAGUGGGGAAGGCGGGCGCGCGAGCGCGCGGAGAGCGCACAUCUCGGGCCAGGCCUGUGAGGCCUAACUGUUCCUCAGACCGUGAAAACCACAGUGUCAGGCCCUGGCGGGGCGAUAAGCGGCCCCGGCGCACAGCCGGGAUGAGUGCCUCGGGGGCCUGCCCUCGAGCCGCUGCGAGUGACGAGCGGCGCGGGGUCCUGUCAGGCGCCCCGCGCUCCGCGCCCGGGAGCCCUUUUGUGUCCCCGAAGCCCCGUAUGUCGGUGGAGGCCCCCUCCAGCUGGGAACUUGCUGGGACAGCGGACCCGGCCUGAGUCGGGGACCCCGAGGGCGAUGGGGUCCGCGGGGGUCCCGUAGACGGAAACGCCCUCCCCGGGGCUCCGCGCGCGUCGGAGUGCGGGUCCCCGGCGCCGCCGCCUCGUGUUGUCCGGAGGCGCGUUAAGGGACCACCUAGCGCUGGGGCCCUGAGCGGGGGCGGCAGGCUGCCGAGGCAGGCCCUCGUCCUCAGCAGUGUUGGUCCCCGCCCCGCCCCCACGCCCCACGCUCUUGGGGCUCCCAGGUGCUGUGCGUGUUUAGAGGGAGCCCCGGGAGGACCUGAGGCCUGCCACCCGGUCCUGCCGCCCGGUGAGCCGAGAGCAGGAAGCCUCCUCUGGUGGAGUAGAAGGAACUAAAACUAGACAGGAGGAGCUCCCGGUUGUCACUCACCGAACUAUGUUAGAUACUAAAGAAGGCUUCCCCACAAUCCAUUUGCAUCUGCUUUGACUGGUGGUUUCUAUCAACCUACAAAGACUGACUUAUUGGUGAGGGCAGCUGGACAACUCUGAGAGCAACUUAGAGAAAUCCAUCUUGGGCACACUCUAUAAAGGAGCUCCUUCUCUGGAAAUAGCACCCCAGAUAAGUGCACAAAAGCAAGACACCCUCGUGGACCUACUUCCUCCCGCUUUCAACACCCUGAUGCCUGAAGCUAUGCUUGAUACUAAAGGAGGUUUUCCCACAUUUGCAUCUUCUAUAUUUUGAAAUUGCAACUAUGGAAAGUUAUGGCUAAUCCUAGUAGAUUGUCUUCCCUUCUUUUAACAUCUUGGAUGAAUUUGGGGCACACUAAUGUGUUAAGUGAAGAUGGAUAUUGAAUAUACUGUGUAGAUUCACCUCAGCCAGCCAUCUUAAAAUACCUGCAUGGGCCACAGAGAUAUCUGCGGAGAAAGUAUGGGUAAAAUCAGUGCAUAUGAUAAUAGGUAUGGGGUUUCUUUUUGGGGUGAUGGAAAUGUUCUAGAAUUAGAUAGUGGUGAUAAUUCUACAACAUGGUGAAUAUACUAAGAACCACUGAGACGUACACUUUAAAAUGGUGAAAUUUUUAUGUUGUGUAAAUUACAUCUUGAUUAUUUUUUUAAAAGCAUUAAAAAAAUCAGUGUAUAACAGUCUAUCAGACUCAUGUGGCCUUUCAGGGAUUGGCAGCAUCAUUUGGUUAUGGGAAAGCCUACAGUUUGUGAAAAGCUCAUUGGUGCCGCUUUUCUAGCCUUCUCAAUGGCUUGGUCCCUGUGUAUCCAUUCUAGGUGAAUUUCCCCAUGUUCUAGGUCUGUGGAGAUGCUUUUGAGAUAAGAACUGAAUACUCAGCAAGUUUGAGAUGCCCUAGUUGUUGGUAGUGGUACUUCAAAUAGUCUCUGAAUUGACAGCCAUUAUAAGGAACAAGCACAUUUUUUCCCAGUGCCUUUGUAAAAUUAAAUUGAGCUUCCUAGGGUGGGUGGGGGAUAGAGGGUUGCUGUUCUGCUGAAAUGUAAUGAAUUCCAUUCUCAGUUAUUUUAUGGUGGUUUUAAUGUUCACAUUGGCAUUUCUUUACGGACAGGCCAUGUGUUUUAGGCAUUUUAAAUUAUAUCAAUGGCUAUAAUAUUUUAGUACAAGUAAUCACAAAUUUUUUUUUCUCUAUACAAUCCCUCAACUUUCACCCCUUUUUUCUUUGCCAGUGUGUAGAAUUUGACAGCAGUAUCAAGAGCUGAUGAGGAAGAGAAGAUGGAAAGGAGUCUAGCGACUUAAAAAAUCUCAUAGCGUUCUCUGUGAGGUGACCUUUUUCCUGUUGGGGGCUCAACUUAUUUAGGAGAUAAAGAAGAUAUUCAGGCCUGUGAUAGUGUCAUUAUGUCAUAUCUGAGCUUAUUGAAAUGUUUCAUCCCUUAUAUAACAGUUUGCUUUUUGUGUUAAGUCGACUCGUUUGUUUCCUACUAGUAUUUGAAACACAUAUGGCCACAGUAAGUCUUGACAAAUUGACUUCUAAUGAGGAGGGGAACGGCCGAUGUGCCCACUUUCCUGUGAAAUUUUAGCCUUGUCACAAAACUACCCCCACUGAGGAGAGGUAGUUAUGUUUAGGAAAGAAGAGGUUGGGAAAAACCUUUGGCCUGGUGUUUUGAGACUUAACAGUUUAAAUAUAGUUUUUAUAUGUAAGUUUUUAUUAAUUCUGGUAAGAACAUUAUAUUUUUGACAUUUACUGCUUAGAGGUGCCAAGUAUUUGGUAGCCCACCACAUUAGGAUUUGUGUAAAUCAAUCUAUCCAAACAUAACAUAAAUUAGAAGCCCAUACUUGUAUUUUUUAUUUUAAAAAACUCCAAAACUUAAAUUUUAUAAUUGAACUAAAGAGUAUUUCAUAAUGAAUAUUAAAUUUUCAGUAAAGCAUGUUAAAGUUAACAUUUCUGUUUUUUAUUUUUAGUAACUCAUUUUGUGGUUGUUGUAAUUAUGGCCUGUUAAAAACUCCCUGACAUAUCUUGAACAGCUUUUAGAGAGUCACUUAUGCUUAUUUGCUAUUCCUCUUGUUUUUCUUUUUAGCUCAAUUAAGAAAAGCAUAGUUAACAGUCAGCAUGAUGUUUAAGAGUACUGACUCCAGGGCCAGACUGAUUGAGUUUGAAGUCCAGCUCUGCCAGUUACUAGCUGUGGGACCUUAG